GCCUGAUCCGGGCCCGUUGGCGGCGUCACUGACGCUUCGCUCCGGUCCUCGGAUCCCGAGCGCGGGGAGGCAGACCGACUGUGAGCUGCUUGUCCCCAUCCUGCGGCCGUCCUGGGGACACAGAGCCCUCCGUGGUGCCCGGGGAUUGGAUUGGAGCCAGGACCUCACUUCCUCCUCUGCCCCUGCCCCUGCCCCUCCCAGCACCUGGCCCACACCCUGCAGCCCGCCCCAUGGUCUGGCCCUGGGUGGCGAUGGCGUCCAGGUGGGGUCCCCUCAUUGGCCUGGCUCCGUGCUGCCUCUGGCUCCUGGGGGCAGUCCUUCUGAUGGACGCGUCUGCACGGCCUGCCAACCACUCGUCCACUCGAGAGAGAGUAGCCAACAGGGAGGAGAAUGAGAUCCUGCCCCCAGACCACCUGAACGGGGUGAAGCUGGAGAUGGACGGGCACCUCAAUCGCGGCUUCCACCAGGAGGUCUUCCUAGGCAAGGACCUGGGUGGCUUUGAUGAGGACGCGGAGCCGCGGCGGAGCCGGAGGAAGCUGAUGGUCAUCUUUUCCAAGGCCUGGCCACGAGCUCGCCUUCCCGCCGGGCCUGGUGCUCCAGGACC
rnacentral:lncRNA from 1 species